CCUGAGGUCUCCCCGAGCUGGGGACUCAGGAGCAGGAUUCCGGCACAGGUGGACGGGCUCAGCGUCUUGUGCACUUAAUCAGUGUGGCUGCAAGUCGAUCCUGGCAGUACUCCCAGUCCACUUCAAAGGAGAUGAACGUUGAAGAACUUCCAGAGUUCACUUCAAAUGUGGCCAGCAGCCACUGGGCAGAAAACUGCCCCUUGAUUCAGCUGCAGACAGAAUGCAGGGAAGUCAACUGCUGAGCUUUGACAAGACACGGAACAGGAAUAUUGGUGGGGGAAAGGACCAGCUUGAUUCACCAAUUGCCGGCUUUUGGGCAUUUCCAGGGGACCUGACUGUCUGAGAAUGGGGGCGC
rnacentral:lncRNA from 1 species